rnacentral:rRNA from 1 species
GUCGAACGAUGAAGCCCAGCUUGCUGGGUGGAUUAGUGGCGAACGGGUGAGUAACACGUGAGUAACCUGCCCCCGACUCUGGGAUAAGCCCGGGAAACUGGGUCUAAUACCGGAUAUUACCUUUGACCGCAUGGUUGUUGGUGGAAAGAUUUAUCGGUGGGGGAUGGACUCGCGGCCUAUCAGCUUGUUGGUGAGGUAAUGGCUCACCAAGGCGACGACGGGUAGCCGGCCUGAGAGGGUGACCGGCCACACUGGGACUGAGACACGGCCCAGACUCCUACGGGAGGCAGCAGUGGGGAAUAUUGCACAAUGGGCGAAAGCCUGAUGCAGCGACGCCGCGUGAGGGAUGACGGCCUUCGGGUUGUAAACCUCUUUCAGUAGGGAAGAAGCGAAAGUGACGGUACCUGCAGAAGAAGCGCCGGCUAACUACGUGCCAGCAGCCGCGGUAAUACGUAGGGCGCAAGCGUUAUCCGGAUUUAUUGGGCGUAAAGAGCUCGUAGGCGGUUUGUCGCGUCUGCCGUGAAAGUCCGAGGCUCAACCUCGGAUCUGCCGUGGGUACGGGC